rnacentral:rRNA from 1 species
AUUGAACGCUGGCGGCAGGCUUAACACAUGCAAGUCGAACGAGUGGCGGACGGGUGAGUAAUGCUUGGGAAUCUAGCUUAUGGAGGGGGAUAACUACGGGAAACUGUAGCUAAUCCCGCGUACCAUAGGAUUAGCCCAAGUGGGAUUAGGUAGUUGGUGGGGUAAAGGCUCACCAAGCCGACGAUCUCUAGCUGGUCUGAGAGGAUGACCGGCCACACGGGGACUGGGACACGGCCCAGACUCCAAAGGGAGGCAGCAGGGGGGAAUAUGGCGCAAUGGGGGCAACCUGACGCAGCCAUGCCGCGUGAAUGAAGAAGGCCGUCGGGUUGUAAAGUGCUUUCGGUAGCGAGGCGUUAACUACAGAAGAAGCACCGGCUAACUCCGUGCCAGCAGCCGCGGUAAUUC